GAGACGGACAAAUGACCUGCUAACUCCAAAU
rnacentral:tRNA from 1 species